UAAUGGGUCAGCGACUUAUAUUCUGUAGCAAGGUUAACCGAAUAGGGGAGCCGAAGGGAAACCGAGUCUUAACUGGGCGUUAAGUUGCAGGGUAUAGACCCGAAACCCGGUGAUCUAGCCAUGGGCAGGUUGAAGGUUGGGUAACACUAACUGGAGGACCGAACCGACUAAUGUUGAAAAAUUAGCGGAUGACUUGUGGCUGGGGGUGAAAGGCCAAUCAAACCGGGAGAUAGCUGGUUCUCCCCGAAAGCUAUUUAGGUAGCGCCUCGUGAAUUCAUCUCCGGGGGUAGAGCACUGUUUCGGCAAGGGGGUCAUCCCGACUUACCAACCCGAUGCAAACUGCGAAUACCGGAGAAUGUUAUCACGGGAGACACACGGCGGGUGCUAACGUCCGUCGUGAAGAGGGAAACAACCCAGACCGCCAGCUAAGGUCCCAAAGUCAUGGUUAAGUGGGAAACGAUGUGGGAAGGCCCAGACAGCCAGGAUGUUGGCUUAGAAGCAGCCAUCAUUUAAAGAAAGCGUAAUAGCUCACUGGUCGAGUCGGCCUGCGCGGAAGAUGUAACGGGGCUAAACCAUGCACCGAAGCUGCGGCAGCGACACUAUGUGUUGUUGGGUAGGGGAGCGUUCUGUAAGCCUGUGAAGGUGGCCUGUGAGGGUUGCUGGAGGUAUCAGAAGUGCGAAUGCUGACAUAAGUAACGAUAAAGCGGGUGAAAAGCCCGCUCGCCGGAAGACCAAGGGUUCCUGUCCAACGUUAAUCGGGGCAGGGUGAGUCGACCCCUAAGGCGAGGCCGAAAGGCGUAGUCGAUGGGAAACAGGUUAAUAUUCCUGUACUUGGUGUUACUGCGAAGGGGGGACGGAGAAGGCUAUGUUGGCCGGGCGACGGUUGUCCCGGUUUAAGCGUGUAGGCUGGUUUUCCAGGCAAAUCCGGAAAACCAAGGCUGAGGCGUGAUGACGAGGCACUACGGUGCUGAAGCGACAAAUGCCCUGCUUCCAGGAAAAGCCUCUAAGCAUCAGGUAACAUCAAAUCGUACCCCAAACCGACACAGGUGGUCAGGUAGAGAAUACCAAGGCGCUUGAGAGAACUCGGGUGAAGGAACUAGGCAAAAUGGUGC
rnacentral:rRNA from 1 species